CUCCGGAAGUUUUGGUGGGGUAGUAAAUGUGGUCAAAGGAAGCCAGCGUGGGUAUCAUGGAAGACUAUGUGUAAACCAAAAAAUAUGGGCGGAAUAAGCUUCCGAGACAUUGAGCUUUUUAAUCUUGCUCUAUUGGCUCUGCAAGUUUGGCGGCUACUUCAAGAUCCACAAUCGUUAAGUGCUCGAGGCCUACGGGCACGAUAUUACCCGAACAGCAAUAUAAUUGAUGCAACACUAGGCGCACACCCUUCCCAGGUCUGGCGCUCUUUGAUGGAAGGAAGAGAUUUGCUUGUUCUGGGGUUAAUUAGGAGGAUUGGGUCGGGCUCUGACACCCGCAUUUGGGAAGAUAACUGGUUGCCCGUGAUUACAAGAUGA
rnacentral:rRNA from 1 species